CAGCAGCCGCGGUAAUACCGGCGGCCCGAGUGGCGGCCACUAUUAUUGGGCUUAAAGCGUCCGUAGCCGGGUUGGUUAGUCUCCCGGGAAAUCUGGCCGCUUAACGGUCAGAAUUCCGGGAGAUACUGCCAGCCUAGGGACCGGGAGAGGCCGAGGGUAUUCCCGGAGUAGGGGUGAAAUCCUAUAAUCCCGGGAGGACCACCUGUGGCGAAGGCGCUCGGCUGGAACGGGUCCGACGGUGAGGGACGAAGGCCAGGGGAGCAAACCGGAUUAGAUACCCGGGUAGUCCUGGCUGUAAACGAUGCGGACUUUGUGUCGGACAAGCUAUGAGCUUAUCCGGUGCCGGAGGGAAACCGUUAAGUCCGCCGCCUGGGGAGUACGGCCGCAAGGCUGAAACUUAAAGGAAUUGGCGGG
rnacentral:rRNA from 1 species